rnacentral:tRNA from 1 species
GGAUUGUAGAUCAGUGGUAGAGCACUUGCUUAGCAUGUGUGAGGCACUGGGUUCAAUUCUCAGCACCA